rnacentral:lncRNA from 1 species
UCAUUUAUUCAGUAGGAAUAUAAUAUAAAAUAUCUACAUGCAUCCUCAAAAUAGGUAUGAACGUGAGGCAUAAAAAUAUCCACCAACUAAUCAUCUAAACUCUUCCUAAAACAUUCAUCCUCAAGUAGUGCAGCAUCAACAGAGUUUAUAAAAUACGACAUAUCAUCUCUAUGCUUCACAUAAAACCUCCACCAUCUUUGCCAAAUUUUCCAAUGGCGACAGUCUCCUGACCUCAGGUAAAGGAAUUGGUUCCAUCAACAUGCCAUCGCCAAACCCACCAGAAUUAAUUCCCACUGUCUCUCUAUCUCUAAGCUUCUUGCUACUCCAGUUCCUAAAAAGUGGAAAAUCCCUACGCACAUUGUAAUUUGCCCAACGAACCUUAUCCAUAUAGAAUAUCUGUCAAUGACAUGUAGAACCAAAUUACAAAUCUCAAUAUAUCAAACUACGAAUCAGACAGGUUACGAAUUUCAGUAAAUCAUAUUACAAAUUAGAUAGUAAGCAUAAAAGGACUACUUUAUGUCAAAUAGCAACCAAAUAACACCUAAAAUUAAAUUUGACAUUAAGCAUAAAGUGACUACUUUUAUGCAUCAGACAGUAAGCAUAAAAGGUUUACCUUAUGUCAAUUAGCAGCCAAAUAACACCUAAAAUCUCAUUACGAAUGUCAAUAGAUCAGAUUACAAAUUAGACAAGUUACAAAUCUUAAUAUAUCAAAAUAUGUAUCGGACAAUAAGCAUAGAAGGACUACUUUAUGUCAAAUAGAAACCAAAUGACACCAAAAAACACAUUAUGAAUGCAAGUAAAUUAGAUUACGAAUCAGACAGGCUACGAAUCUCCGUGUUUCUCUUUUCCCUUUGAUUUGUUGUUGGCUGCGAAUAAAAUUCUCCAAAUCAAAAAAUACACAACAAAUAAACAAAAAAGUAGACAAUACGAAUCGUAACAAAUAGAACUAAAUUCGUAACAAAAAUCCACUGUUUCGAACCUCUAGUCCCAUUCUUCGUCUUCCCCACAUUUUAUAUGAAAAUAUAUUAUCACAUCUCCCUGAUAAUAUAUUCUACAACUGUAAACUUACAAUUCGUAACCAAAUAAUAGUGAUUUAAACUUAUACAAAUCUGUUCAUCUACACUCAUCUACGCAUCCCAUGAACUCAUUUAUUCAAGUAAAUCCAAAUUCGCACCGUACGUAUGAUUAAGAUAAACAUGCGCACAUAAAUCCAAAAUGAAAAAUAAUCGAUUACUGGAAUCAAUCGAAAACUAUACCCCCAAAGCUCAAAAACCCAAAUUUGGACCACACACAUAAAAAAAUCAAAGCACAAUAAAAUCAGAUGAAGACAUAAAGACCCACAAUCGUUUCAAGACAAGGGGGACAUUCUAAAAUUUGACUGAUUAUUCACAUAAGGAACUGAUUAUUCACAACAAUCCAAGAAAUUUAACAGAGAAAGAGAGAGAUUGCAGAUGGGUUCCGCUGUAAAACAAACCACGAAUCUUCACCCACUUAAAAAAAAAACAACAACAAAUAAACAACCCACUGUAACGAACCUCAAGAUCCACCCUUCGUUUUCGCCAUUUCGUCUCUUCAAAAACCCUAGAUUCGCCGCCUUCUAUGCGCUGGGACUGAAAGCUUGUGGAUGGGUAAUAUUUUCGUAGCUAUUAAUUUGAGAGAGAGAGAGAGAGAUUUUCAAAAUAUCAAUUAAAGAUGCUUGAAAAUUCAGAAUAUCUUCAAUGAGAUGUGUUGCGUAAUAUUAAUUUACUCAUUCAAAUUAUUCUCACAUGAAUCAUUUAGGAUAUGGAAUAAAAA